AGAGUUUGAUCCUGGCUCAGGACGAACGCUGGCGGCGUGCCUAAUACAUGCAAGUAGAACGCUGAAGACUUUAGCUUGCUAAAGUUGGAAGAGUUGCGAACGGGUGAGUAACGCGUAGGUAACCUGCCUACUAGCGGGGGAUAACUAUUGGAAACGAUAGCUAAUACCGCAUAACAGCAUUUAACCCAUGUUAGAUGCUUGAAAGGAGCAAUUGCUUCACUAGUAGAUGGACCUGCGUUGUAUUAGCUAGUUGGUGAGGUAACGGCUCACCAAGGCGACGAUACAUAGCCGACCUGAGAGGGUGAUCGGCCACACUGGGACUGAGACACGGCCCAGACUCCUACGGGAGGCAGCAGUAGGGAAUCUUCGGCAAUGGGGGCAACCCUGACCGAGCAACGCCGCGUGAGUGAAGAAGGUUUUCGGAUCGUAAAGCUCUGUUGUAAGAGAAGAACGUGUGUGAGAGUGGAAAGUUCACACAGUGACGGUAACUUACCAGAAAGGGACGGCUAACUACGUGCCAGCAGCCGCGGUAAUACGUAGGUCCCGAGCCGUUGUCCGGAUUUUAUUGGGCGUAAAGCGAGCGCAGGCGGUUUAAUAAGUCUGAAGUUAAAGGCAGUGGCUUAACCAUUGUUCGCUUUGGAAACUGUUAGACUUGAGUGCAGAAGGGGAGAGUGGAAUUCCAUGUGUAGCGGUGAAAUGCGUAGAUAUAUGGAGGAACACCGGUGGCGAAAGCGGCUCUCUGGUCUGUAACUGACGCUGAGGCUCGAAAGCGUGGGGAGCAAACAGGAGGGAUACCCUGGUAGUCCACGCCGUAAACG
rnacentral:rRNA from 1 species